GUUGGUAGGGUAAAGGCCUACCAAGGCGAGGACGGGUAGGGGGUGUGAGAGCACGACCCCCCACAAUGGGACUGAGAGACGGCCCAUACUCCUACGGGAGGCAGCAGCAGGGAAUAUUGCACAAUGGACGGAAGUCUGAUGCAGCGACGCCGCGUGGAUGAAGGAGGCCUUCGGGUUGUAAAAUCCUUUUCGGGGGGAAGAGGAAGGACGGUACCCCCGGAAUAAGCGUCGGCUAACUACGUGCCAGCAGCCGCGGUAAUACGUAGGACGCGAGCGUUAUCCGGAUUUACUGGGCGUAAAGCGUCUGUAGGCGGACUUGUAAGUUGGACGUGAAAGCUCCGGGCUUAACCCGGAGAGGUCGUUCAAUACUGCGAGACUAGAGGGCGUGAGAGGGGAGCGGAAUUCCCGGUGUAGCGGUAAAAUGCGCAGAUAUCGGGAGGAACACCAGUGGCGCAGGCGGCUCCCUGGUACGCACCUGACGCUGAGAGACGAAAGCUAGGGGAGCGAACAGGAUUAGAGACCCUGGUAGUCCUAGCCCUAAACGCUGAUGCUAGGUGUGGGGCCGAACAGGCUCUGUGCCGCAGCUAACGCG
rnacentral:rRNA from 1 species